rnacentral:lncRNA from 1 species
CCUACUCUUACAAUGGAUCAACUAUCGCCAACAUCCACUACUAGAACUCAUUGAGAUCAUAUUUAUGUGUCAGUCAAACUCCAGUAGCCUCACUGUGAGUAAUCAUACCAUCACAGAUCAAAAAACUAUUCACAUAAUUACAGUAUCCAGACAAUCACUGAUGAUCAAGUAGAAAUCCAAGUAAUCUCUUAUAUGGUCAUGCUUAAUACUAGUUGUUCUUUAACAAUUAUCUGCACUCGUCGCUCAGUAUCUCCACACUGUAGA